rnacentral:rRNA from 1 species
CAACGCCGCGUGGGGAGUGAAGCCCUUCGGGGUGGUAAACUACCUUUCGUACCAAGAACGAUAAUGACGGUACUGGUGGAAGAAGCACCGGCUAACUCUGUGC